AAGGUUUCCGUAGGUGAACCUGCGGAAGGAUAUGAC
rnacentral:rRNA from 1 species